UACGUAGGGUGCAAGCGUUAAUCGGAAUUACUGGGCGUAAAGCGUGCGCAGGCGGUUUUGUAAGUCUGACGUGAAAUCCCCGGGCUCAACCUGGGAAUUGCGUUGGAGACUGCAAGGCUAGAAUCUGGCAGAGGGGGGUAGAAUUCCACGUGUAGCAGUGAAAUGCGUAGAGAUGUGGAGGAACACCGAUGGCGAAGGCAGCCCCCUGGGUCAAGAUUGGCGCUCAUGCACGAAAGCGUGGGGAGCAAACAGG
rnacentral:rRNA from 1 species